UACGUAGGGGGCAAGCGUUGUCCGGAAUCAUUGGGCGUAAAGCGCGUGUAGGCGGCUUCGUAAGUCCGUUGUGAAAGUCCAGGGCUCAACCCUGGAAUGCCGAUGGAUACUGCGGAGCUAGAGUCCGGAAGAGGCGAGUGGAAUUCCUGGUGUAGCGGUGAAAUGCGCAGAUAUCAGGAGGAACACCAAUAGCGAAGGCAGCUCGCUGGGACGGUACUGACGCUGAGACGCGAAAGCGUGGGGAGCAAACAGG
rnacentral:rRNA from 1 species